GAACGGGUGAGUAACGCGUAAUCAACCUGCCCUUCAGAGGGGGACAACAGUUGGAAACGACUGCUAAUACCGCAUACGAUCUAAUCUCGGCAUCGAGGAUGGAUGAAAGGUGGCCUCUACAUGUAAGCUAUCACUGAAGGAGGGGAUUGCGUCUGAUUAGCUAGUUGGAGGGGUAACGGCCCACCAAGGCGAUGAUCAGUAGCCGGUCUGAGAGGAUGAACGGCCACAUUGGGACUGAGACACGGCCCAGACUCCUACGGGAGGCAGCAGUGGGGAAUCUUCCGCAAUGGACGAAAGUCUGACGGAGCAACGCCGCGUGAGUGAUGACGGCCUUCGGGUUGUAAAGCUCUGUUAAUCGGGACGAAAGGCCUUCUUGCGAAUAGUGAGAAGGAUUGACGGUACCGGAAUAGAAAGCCACGGCUAA
rnacentral:rRNA from 1 species